GACGAACGCUGGCGGCGUGCUUAACACAUGCAAGUCGAACGGAAAGGCCCUGCUUUUGUGGGGUGCUCGAGUGGCGAACGGGUGAGUAACACGUGAGUAACCUGCCCUUGACUUUGGGAUAACUUCAGGAAACUGGGGCUAAUACCGGAUAGGAGCUCCUGCUGCAUGGUGGGGGUUGGAAAGUUUCGGCGGUUGGGGAUGGACUCGCGGCUUAUCAGCUUGUUGGUGGGGUAGUGGCUUACCAAGGCUUUGACGGGUAGCCGGCCUGAGAGGGUGACCGGACACAUGGAGUGUGAGACGCGGCCGAGACUCAUGGGGGGGGGAGGAGGGGAGAAUAUUGCAAAGGGCGGGAGCCCGUUGUAGAACAGCGCCGUGUGGGAGAAGGGGGCUUGGGGGGUAAAAAGCGUUUGCCCCUGUGAAAAAGCGAGAGACGGGAUAAGGUAUAGAAAAACAGGCGCAAUCCGUG
rnacentral:rRNA from 1 species